GGAAGGAGCCCGGGGAUGGAGGGAUGGGGGAAGGAAAGGGAGGAUGCUUUGCCCUGGCCUCACCUCAGCUCGGUGGGUGGGGACGGGCGAGCCCCUCGCCUCCUGCUCCUCCCCAGCAGCCGCGAUGGUCACUAACGGGCCGGGGGUGCGGUGCGGCUCCCCUCACCCAGCGCCGGGUCCCCGCCUCCUGCUCUCGCCCCGUCCCCGCCUCCUGCUGCCCGAGCCGCGCUCGCUGGGCUCUGAGGGAGCCGGGAGCCGCCGCCGCUAGGGGAGGAGGGAGCGCGCCUGCGCCACCGCCCGGGCGGCGAGACGGGAGGAGGCAGCGGGGCCGCCGGCGGCUCCAGUGCCCGGGGAGGGGGAGUCCGGUCCCGGCCCGGCUACCUGAGAGCGGCGCGGGGCUCGGGCGGCCUCAGUGCGCAGGUGCGAAUCCCAGCAUGCCAGUGAUUCUGAGGAUGAUGCAUCUUUAUCUAACACCUCUUAUGAUGCACUUGCCCUUGGACCAGCCAGAUGUUGAAAACAGUCCACAAGGGCUUCCAAGGAUGUUAGUAGGAAGCAGAAUAAAGGAGAUGCUUCUGGAGUCCAUUUCAGGCCUUGAUGAAUUAUGA
rnacentral:lncRNA from 1 species